CCUACGGGAGGCAGCAGUGGGGAAUAUUGCACAAUGGGCGAAAGCCUGAUGCAGCGACGCCGCGUGAGGGAUGACGGCCUUCGGGUUGUAAACCUCUGUUGUUAGGGAACAAGGCCAGUGAUUUUGUUGGUUGAGGGUACUUGGGUAAGAAGCGCCGGCUAACUACGUAACAGCAGCCGCGGU
rnacentral:rRNA from 1 species